rnacentral:lncRNA from 1 species
GUCAACACCAGAUCAACAUGUGAAGUAGGCAAAUAGAAAUCAUAAACCAUGCACCCUAUCACAAAGUAUCCAGACUUUAUAAUUGAUUUGAUGGCCAUAUUGCAGGUCAUCCAAGAAAGGGACAUCUAGCUAGCUAGAAAUAAACUCGACAAUGUUUCACCAUAAAUAUUCAUUAGAGAGGAAAAAGGAAAAUGAUGGAGAUGUAAAACAAGUAAUGU